CGCAAUCUGGGCGCCAAGCUUAUGAACGAACUCAAGGCUGUAGGGAUGACUGCCUUCCUGGUAUUUAAGGCCUAUUCCAGCAAGAAUGCAGCUACAAUGUGAUCCGUUACCUGCCAGAAUGAACGCGCCGCCUAAACUUAGCGUGCCAGGCAGUCCCGCAGUUAAUACGUUAGGGGAAGCAUGCGUCGUCAGAAUUAUCGGGCGUAAACGAGCUAAGUAGUCGGUUCGUUCGCCGUCCUGCUGUGAACGCCCCGCGGCUUCAAUCCCCGGGUCUGCAGUCGGUACGGGCAGACUAGAGUGCAGUAGGGGGAGACUGGAACUCCUGGUGUAGCGGGUGAAAUGCGCAGAUCUCCAGGAGGAACACCGAUGGCGAAGGGCAGGUCUCUGGGCUGUUACUGACGCUGAGGAGCGAAAGCAUGGGGAGCGAACAGGAUUAGAUACCCUGGUAGUCCAUGCCGUAAACGUUGGGCACUAGGUGUGGGGGACAUUCCACGUUCUCCGCGCCGUAGCUAACGCAUUAAGUGCCCCGCCUGGGGAGUACGGCCGCAAGGCUAAAACUCAAAGGAAUUGACGGGGGCCCGCACAAGCGGCGGAGCAUGCGGAUUAAUUCGAUGCAACGCGAAGAACCUUACCAAGGCUUGACAUCCACCGGACCGCACUGGAGACAGUGCUUCCCUUCGGGGCUGGUGGACAGGUGGUGCAUGGUUGUCGUCAGCUCGUGUCGUGAGAUGUUGGGUUAAGUCCCGCAACGAGCGCAACCCUCGUUCUAUGUUGCCAGCACGUGAUGGUGGGGACUCAUAGGAGACUGCCGGGGUCAACUCGGAGGAAGGUGGGGAUGACGUCAAAUCAUCAUGCCCCUUAUGUCUUGGGCUUCACGCAUGCUACAAUGGCCGGUACAAAGGGUUGCGAUACUGUGAGGUGGAGCUAAUCCCAAAAAGCCGGUCUCAGUUCGGAUUGAGGUCUGCAACUCGACCUCAUGAAGUCGGAGUCGCUAGUAAUCGCAGAUCAGCAACGCUGCGGUGAAUACGUUCCCGGGCCUUGUACACACCGCCCGUCAAGUCACGAAAGUUGGUAACACCCGAAGCCGGGGCCUACUCCGUUUACCGCCCCGUUUCCCUCUAAAGUUGCAUCGCAGG
rnacentral:rRNA from 1 species